GUUGAUGUCAUUGAGGAUUUUGUCAAGUUCCACUUCAUUUGCAAUCCUCGGAUGAGCUGGUUGAGGAUUUCGUCUGGGCUAAGUAAUUGGUUCUGGAGCAAUUUCCUCAGGAGCAUCUUCUUGAUUUUGAUCAGUGCUGGGAAUGAUUUCUUCAUCAAUUUCCUCAGUUGGAACAAUGUCUUCAGUAGCUUUGAGCUUUAUUGCUUCCUCUGGAGACAGCUUAUCUGGAUCAGGAGGCAAUU
rnacentral:lncRNA from 1 species